AGGGUUCUAAGCACCUGGAAGACUGCCGUAAACGUGUGGAUACCUAAGGUUACAGGUAGUAACCCGCUACCCACAUGAGUCCUACCAGAAAUAAGACCAAAUCUGAGUCAAACCAAAAUAAUAAUAAUAAUAAUAUUUCCUACUCAGGGUACAAGGCCUGAAAUUUGGGGGAGG